CGUGAAACAAACCUGAUCUAAGCCUGUAGAUGCUUUGUGCAGAGUGUUUUCGGACAGGGGUUCGAUUCCCCUCACCUCCACCA
rnacentral:tmRNA from 1 species